UAUCAGCUCUCACUGUCCUGCCUCUGCAAACCUCCUUUGGAAAGGAGAGGUUAACUCUCAACAGUUGCUGUCCCAACUUUCCCUCUAAGUGGUAGGUCUCUGGAGCUGAGCUCUAGUCUGCCUCCUUCUCUAGGCUGCCAGGCUGCUCACCUCAGUCUAACCAUUGCCUGCCGUGUUUAAAAAGUUGACCAGCCAGGAGCUUGGCAGGACCCACAGAAACAGUUCAGUUUGCACAGAAACUUUCCCAACAUGAUCACUGUAGUUAACCUUCGUUCUGGCCAAGACCAAGAAGGGUUAAUGGACACCCGGCUCCUGACACCUUCCAGGUCAGCUUGGCUUGCGAACUUCCAACGCAGGAAUUGGAGGAUUACCGGGGAAGGAAUGCGAGGUACCCGAUAGCCUCACACCUGAACACGGUCGCUUCAAUCCACUGGGAUUCAUUUAAAAAAAAAAAAAAAAGAAAUUCUCUUCUGGAAAAUGGUUAAUUGGAUCUGCAGCUACAUUUCCUGUUGCACCGAAGAGCCAAGCAGGGCAGCCUGGAUUGGAUCCCUCAAGCUGCCAAGAAAAUCGAGCAAUUGGGGGGUGGUGGUGGGGGGGGGGUGAACCUUUCUAAAUAAAUAAACAAACGUAGGUAGCUAUCAGUUGCUUUAGGGAGCGCAGAUAUUUAGGAAAAGGCCAGGAGCGGGAAAAGGAAGAAGAAACGAAAAAGAUUCUCCCCUUUUCUUACCUUUUGCCCCUCCUUUCCCCUCCCGAAAUUUGCGCCUACUUGAUUAUUUGCAGCUGUUUCGAACCUCAAGGUUUGUUCACAGUAGCGAGAGAGACUUGCGCUUGGAGAAGUGAAAAGCCAUUUUCGCGCCAGGGCUUCGCUGCUUGAGUUUGGGGGUUUUGCUCUCCCUCCCAGCAAACUCCCCUCAAAGCCUUGCUAACUUCGUCAAGCCCUGCCAGCCUUUACUCCUUGGCCACUUGGGUUCGCAGUACCCAGCCAAGGGCCCCGGGCGGGUUUCCAUCGCUGGGGGUGGCCUGGUACCCCCAAAGCUGAGUUCCCGCCUAGGAGAGGACGCUGACGUCCUGGGGCUUCCUCGGUGCCUGUCACCCAGCCCCCUGCCUUCCUCCUCGGCCUCAGAUGUCGUCCCACCUGCCCACGAGCAGGGAACCUGGAACCCACUCUCCCGGCAGUCCCCAGCGGGUUCCGCCACCCGGCGGCCGCCCCUGACACCGAGUGGGUGGGAGGAAGAGGCAGCUGGCGGGGAUGGGCCAUUGAGACCUCUUGAAAAAUAUUAAAAGACAGGAUGGGUAGAGAUUUCUCCGGGAGAAAGUUCGAGGGUGCAUCGGGUCGCGGCUGGGAGGAGUACCCGAAAUGCCAGCAGGAGAAAUGCAACCUGUUUAGGCCACACCUUCAAUCCCCGAGGCUGUCUGGAGAGACUGCGUGCGGGGGACUUGCCGGCGUUCCCACACCGCGCCUGCAAUCCACUCCCGCGGCUGCCUGGCCUCUGCCACUCGCGGCUUGAAGCCAGUGGCUCUCAAGCCCUCGGCCCCGCGGCGGCCCGCGCAGCCUUCACCCGGCGCCGGCACCACGAAGCCUGGCCGCAGUGGACUCCCCGCAGCUCGCUGCGCCCUGGCGUCUCCCGUCGAGGAGGGAGGGACGGAGGCCUGAGCCGGGAGCUCCCUGGCGGUGGUCGGGCCGCCCCCCUUGAGGCCUGCUCCCCCCUCUCGGCCUCGCCAAAUCCCUGAAAGCCCAGUCCCCCUUCGUCACCCCGGGGGCUUCUAAUCACUCGGUAUCGAUUUCCCUAACUCUUUUCAUCCUGUUGAAGACACAUCUUAAAACACUCCAGCCCGGAGUGUGCUCUGGGCUUUAUCCACACUAAUAAAAUGAUUUACCCUUCUCUCCGCGCUCUCCUCACAGAGGAAAAUC
rnacentral:lncRNA from 10 species